rnacentral:rRNA from 1 species
CCUGGGAAACUGGGUCUAAUACCGGAUAUGACUCCUCAUCGCAUGGUGGGGGGUGGAAAGCUUUAUUGUGGUUUUGGAUGGACUCGCGGCCUAUCAGCUUGUUGGUGAGGUAAUGGCUUACCAAGGCGACGACGGGUAGCCGGCCUGAVAGGGKGACCGGC